rnacentral:rRNA from 1 species
GACAUAGGUGGCGACCGUUAUCCGGAUUUAUUGGGCGUAAAGGAUGCGUAGAUGGCAGAACAAGUUAUUGGUCAAGGUCAAGCUCAACUUGACGGAAGCUAGUAAUACUGUUCUACUUGAGGAAAGGAGAGGUUGGCGGAAUUCUGUGUGGAGCGGUGAAAUGCGUUGAUCUACAGAGGAACACCAAAAAAGGCGAAGGCAGCCAACUAUUCUGUUCCUGACAUUGAGGCAUGAAAGCGUGGGGAGCAAACCGG